UGUACCUGUGGAGACUCAGCUGAGUUGUUUUGGUUGUCCCUUGGCUGAAUUGGAUUGUCGUCCCUUUUUGGGAUGAGAAAAAGGAAUGUUACUGUCCCGUGCCACAAAACUACACAAUGGUGGCAUCAUGACUCCAGGCAGCAUGGCUCCAGGACCCAGGAUACUCAGAGUGAUCUGUGGGCCAGAUAUAAAUGCAGAGUCUCAGGUUCCCAGAACUCCUGAAUCAGAAUCUGCAUUUUAACAAGAUCUCAGGAAAUUCAUUUGGACAAUAAAGUUUAAGGAGUUCGGGUAUACUA